UUAGUAGUGAUGGGCCAGACGACACAGAAACAUCGGCACCUGCGCCGAGCAAACGAAACAAACCCCUUUCGGUGCGCGUAUCACUUUACGGAUGAACAAGUACAACAUACUGGACAGCCGGCUUCCCUAAAAACAACACACCCCGCUCUCAACAACAACGGGACACUUCCCUCACUCUUCUUCUCCCCCCCAGGACAUACACGUUGCUCUCUACUGCCCAGGAGAGGCUGGAUCUGUAACAAAUCCUUCAUCAAAAUAUCCUAUCCGUUUAAAAUGAAAAGCUAUCGCAGUUGUAUGCACUAAUUCUUUUAUUAGAACGUCUUACCUUUUUAAAACAUAUUUUAAAUAUUUUAAAGGCGUUUGUAAGAAUUAAACAGUAUCAGACAUGGGAAACAAGUUUUUAUUGAAAUAAAUUAAACACGAGAUCUACAAAUACAGAUCACCACAAACUCUUUUUUGCGCAAUAAUACGCUGUAUGGCAGUCUUUAUCAAAUGCAGCGCAGUGAAUUCUUGCGAAUUCUGCCAGCUGUGAGUGUGAGACUAUGGUAAUUAAAAUGAUUAAUUACCAUAGCAUUAAUUACCAUAUGGCGAAUCGCAAGCAACUUUAAGGUGCAUACCGCCACCUACUCUAGAAGAGUGUGUAGCAACAUUACUUUACAUCUAUCAAAUUCUAUUUUUUAAUUUUGUAUUCUGAAGAUAAAUAAAUAAUGCUUUCCUUAAUCUGUAAAUAUCCAUUAUGUUUCCUUCAUUUCCCAAUAUUCCUUUAAGAAUAUUGGGACCUGUAUAUUGGGACCAUUCUUGACCUGUCCUUCCAACCAUUCUUCUCAAUUUCUCCCUUUCGGGUUCAUAUGUUUUACAGUUCAAUAUGGGUUCUACAUUUUCUUUCUCUCCACAUCUUUCACAUUUAUCAUUAUUUUCCCGUCCUAUUAAAUAUAAAAUGUCAUUUAAAUAGGUUGUUGUGGAUCUCCGGAGGACUGGAGGAGGUUCCUGCGGCCUUCUCCACCAGGGGGCGUUCAGGAACUUCGUGGUGGGCGUGGUCGGCGGAUCCUGCCGGCACACCUGCUGCCACUUACCUUGUUGGGAGGAGUAUUUCAGGAGGACAUCGUCAACACUCUUGUGCCAGAGUGUUAGCUCGUAAAUGGUUUUCGUUGCCGCGGAGCUGCCGGCAUCCUGUCCGUCUGGAUUCCCUGUGGCCGGAGGAAUCAUCGAGACCACACAACCUGAUCCUCCUUGUUUCCCGAAGAGCCUGUCUCACAUGUCCGCCCUCCAACGCCGCCGUCGCCCGUCCUCUCUGCUCCAACCCCUGAUCCACCGUGCUGCCUAUCCCUCUCAGCUCCGCUUUAUCCACCAGCAAGUAAGGCCUCGAACCGCUGAACUUCCGUUUCCCUCCCGGCAUUCUGUUCUCACUUCUGUGUUCCU